rnacentral:rRNA from 1 species
CGUUCUGUAAGCCUGCGAAGGUGUGCUGUGAGGCAUGCUGGAGGUAUCAGAAGUGCGAAUGCUGACAUAAGUAACGAUAAAGCGGGUGAAAAGCCCGCUCGCCGGAAGACCAAGGGUUCCUGUCCAACGUUAAUCGGGGCAGGGUGAGUCGACCCCUAAGGCGAGGCCGAAAGGCGUAGUCGAUGGGAAACAGGUUAAUAUUCCUGUACUUGGUGUUACUGCGAAGGGGGGACGGAGAAGGCUAUGUUGGCCGGGCGACGGUUGUCCCGGUUUAAGCGUGUAGGCUGGUUUUCCAGGCAAAUCCGGAAAAUCAAGGCUGAGGCGUGAUGACGAGGCACUACGGUGCUGAAGCAACAAAUGCCCUGCUUCCAGGAA